UUCGCAAUGCCCGAAAGGGUGACGAAGCGACGCCGCGUGAGUGAGGAAGGCCUUCGGGUUGUAAAGCCCUGUCAGGAGUUAAGAAAUGUAAGUGCGCUAAUAUCGCAUUUAUUUGACGAAGGCUCCAAAGGAAGUCACGGCUAACUCUGUGCCAGCAGCCGCGGUAAUACAGAGGUGGCAAGCGUAGUUCGGAAUUAUUGGGCGUAAAGAGCACGUAGGUGGGUUUGCAAGUCAGAUGUGAAAGCCUCCUGUUCAACGGGAGAAUUGCAUCUGAAACUGCAGAUCUUGAGUGUAGGAGGGGAGAAUGGAACUUCUGGUGGAGCGGUGAAAUGCGUAGAUAUCAGAAGGAACGCCGGCGGCGAAAGCGAUUCUCUGGCCUAUUACUGACGCUCAGUGUGCGAAAGCUAGGGGAGCAAACGGGAUUAGAUACCCCGGUAGUCCUAGCCGUAAACGACGGGCACUAAGUAGAGGGGUUUU
rnacentral:rRNA from 2 species